AGUUAACAUACCGAUACAUACUGCUGUAAAGAUAUGCUAUGCGUUUUGUAAGGAUAGUGUAGCUAACAUAACGUGUAACGUAACUUAUUUGAAAAGUCAUUACUUGAUUACAUUGCUCAACAUUUGUCAUAAUUAUUUAAAGCAGUUCAUGUAUAUGUCAUAUUUUGGCGAAUUUAGUACGACAUCCGGGAACUUUUGGCAUACUAACUACAUCAUACUAUGACAAAUAAGCAUACUAUAUACUCAAUUAACAUCACAAAUAGUACGGUUAGUAUGAGUAUUCUAACACAGCUCAGGUCACUGGGCAGCCAUUUUGUUUGUUUAAAAACUAGGUUGCCCCUUUAAAAAAGCAACACAACAUUCAAUCAACCAAUCUGCAGUUCAACCAAUAACAAAGCUGUAAUUACACCACUAUUUUGGAAAUAGGAUGGAUGGGGCUGGAGAAAUGUAACUACUCUCAAAUUCAUAGACAGACCUAUGGAUGCAAGGACUGACCAUCCAUGAUAUCAACAUUAUAGUUUUAACCAUGUUGAGGCUAUACAGUGUUGGUUUACAUUGUUUCUAAACAUUGGAGUAAAAAAAGCUUAUUUGGGGUUCUGAUGGGGUAAACAGUUGAACUAAGCUCAUAAGGCAUUCGUUAUAUUCUUCAAGAAUCAAUGCCUAUAAAUAAAUAAAUUAUUUAAGAGUCAAAAUAUGGAUGUAAAAUAUGGAUGUAGCAAUUGCAAAUGUCCCCUUUAACACCACACAUCAGUUCAACAACUGCAGAGUUUGUGCUUCUGUUUUUAAGACAGCACUUACUAGUGUUAAUCAGGGCCCCUUCAUCGUUAGAACCAUCGGACGCCUUAAGAUGCGCUUGGGAAACCGGGCCGAGAUAUCCAGUUUCCUCCUCUUCUUCAUUUUCCGAUGUGACAGUCACCUCCCCCUCCUCUUCGUUCACUGGAACGUCGUCGUCCCCCUCUUUAUUAACUCUGAACGAGUCUCCCACUUCUUUAACUGUGACGUCUUUCUCUUCUUUCACGGUAACCGCCUCAACCUCUACUUGUUUUUGUAUUGUAACAGCCUCCUCCUCUUUCACGAGAGCUUCCUUCUCCAUCCAGCAGACCUCCUCUUCUUCAUCAGGAACGUGGUUAAGUUUGAGACUGGAGCUCUGAGGCAUGUACUGAAGUCGCUAAGGGGUAUAAUUCAAAGCAGUCUCACUUUAUCAGCAGCACGUGAUCAAUGACGUCUGAAGAAUAAUUUCGUCGAACACCUGAUUGGUUUGGUAUUGGGCUCGUUCGACAUUGCAGCCGACAGUGCAGGUGGCUGCUGACUCAUUUACAAAUCACCUUGCAUCUUAAAUAACUACUCAUUAUUAUUUAUAAAUCAGUCAGCCAGUCACCGUUUACCCACAAUUCAGCAUGGACUUGAUGCUCUCGAUGAAGGCCAGUGGUUUAGUAGCAGACCUGAAGGCUACGGUGUUACGCCUUCCUCUCCUCUGAAGACCCAGUGAGGGUGGAGCUCAGUCAGAGAGCUGUUGAGGGACUGGUUAGGAAGAACACUUCUACAGCCAGAGAGGUGAGAGGACACACAUGGUUUAGAUGGUAAAUAUUUAUGUCCCCUUAGUGGUUCAUCACAUCAGCAAAAGGGAAUAUGUUCCAUCAUCCAUGUUUAUUUACAUUAGUGCAAAUUGACCACUGAUAUUGGUGUAAUUUCCCACCCCUUUUGGCUGUAUGAAAGUUAAUUUCCCCUCAGGCACACACAUUUGUUCUUUGCUAUUAUGGUCAUUUGUGUAGAAUGUACUUUUCCCCACUCAUUCA
ensembl:lncRNA